UGUUGCCUCGGUUACACUAAACUGUAAAGAUGAAAUUAGUGUCUUAACAAUCAAAAGGGUAAAAACUGCAGUGUUUAACACUCAAUUCAGUAGUUUUGUGGUAAGUAACACCAUCUAGUACUGUCCUCGUCAUAUCAAGGGUUCAACUGUCCCCGGGUUUAGAUAUGUUCCUGGUCGCUAGGAGACGGUAACAGAGGUCUCUUAUCAAUGGGACUAAAAACAACAUUCUAACUGGUCAGGGGGAACAGCUGACAGAUAUACUGCACAUAAUAAUAAUAAUAAUAAUAACAAACAAAAAACACCACACCAUUUUGUUUAGGGGGAAGGAGGGCAACUAACAUUACUAUUGGGGCAUGCUGGGAGGUUCUGGGGGGUGGUUCUAACAUUACUAUUGGGGCAUGUAGGGAGGUUCUGGGGGGUAGUUCUAAUAUUACUAUUGGGGCAUGUAGGGAGGUUCUGGGGGGGGUAUUCUAAAUUACUGAUUGGGGCUGUAGGGAGGGGUGGUUCUUGGGGGGGUAGUUCUAAUAUUACUAUGGGGGCAUGAGGGAGGUUCUGGGGGGGUGGUUUCUAAUAUUACUAUUGGGGCAUGUAGGGAGGUUCUGGGGGGUAGUUCUAAUAUUACUAUGGGGCAUGUAGGGAGGUUCGGGGGGGGUAGUUCUAAUAUUACAUUGGGGGGUCAGUAGGGAGGUUCUGGGGGGGUAAGUUCUAAGAUGACUAUGGGGGGGCAUUUGGGUGGUAGUUCUAAUAUGACUAUGGGGCAUGUAGGGUGGUAGUUCUAAUAUGCUAUGGGGCAAUGAGGGUGUAGUCUAAUUGACUAGGGGCAUGUAGGGUGUAGUUCGAAUAUGACUAUGGGGCAAUGUAGGUGGUAGUUCUAAUAUGAUAAUGGGGCAUGUAGGGUGGUAGGUCUAAUAUGACUAUGGGGCAUGUAGGGUGGUAGUUCGAAUAUGACUAUGGGGCAUGUAGGGUGGGAGUUCUAAUAGCGAUGGGGGCAUGUAGGGUGGUAGUGCUAAU
rnacentral:lncRNA from 1 species